rnacentral:rRNA from 1 species
ACGCCAUGGAAGCUUGUUUGGUUUGAAGAUAUUAAGUCACAUGUUUCGAAGUGAUUAUUCCUUAAUAAGUUCAUGUUAUAUGUGUUACUGGUAUCGACAAUUAUAUAGGUAACUGGGGUGAAGUCGUAACAAGGUAGUG